CUUUUAACAACGGAUCUCUUGGUUCUCGCAUCGAUGAAGAACGUAGCAAAGUGCGAUAACUAGUGUGAAUUGCAUAUUCAGUGAAUCAUCGAGUCUUUGAACGCAUCUUGCGCUCAUUGGUAUUCCAAUGAGCACGCCUGUUUCAGUAUCAG
rnacentral:rRNA from 3 species